UAAAUAAAUAAAUAAAUAAAUAAAUAAAUAAAAUUUUCUCAUACCCGUAUGAUAGUGUAAAAUAAAAUUAAGAAAAAUAGAGGCUGAGAUAUAAAUAGGGAGCGGGGCCGAAGGAAAACGACUAAAAGGAGUCAGCGCUGGAAAAUCAAACUCAGUCAAAAGUAACAGGUGAUAUCAAAUCCUGAAAUUUUAUAUUCGCAUGUGUAUAUUCAGACGUUUGAUUGAACAUGAUUUUCCCAAAAAUUGAAUUGGGAUUUUUUUUCAAUUAACCAAAACCCUAAUCGAUCCCUCCUUUUCGUUUUUGAUGUUUUAUCUUUGUGGACCUUUAAAUCUUUUAAAUUCUUGCCAUAUAUACAUUGCUUACUUAUAAUCAUGUUGUUGUUCUCAUGUUUGUUUGGUGGGUUUGAAUUUUCGCAGACAACAGGCGUAGCCAUGGAAGGAAGAUUUUCCAGGACUUGCAGACCUUCUACUUUUCCGGGUUGGGAUUAUUUUUUUUAUUUUUUAAUUUUGUGGUAAUUUUUGGAAUUGCAAGUUGCUUUGUUAAUAUUUUGCAGUAACACUUGUAAUUUUUGGAAUUACAAGGAAGAGAGAUUUGCAGUUAUUUCUGAAUUUGGUUUCCUAUCCUCUAGUAAAUGGGUUUCUAUCUCGGUUCUUGGCGACUCCUUGUUAUGUUAGAUGUUGGUCUAUUUGGUUCACAUUACAAUUCAAAUUUUUACAACUUGUUAAUCUGUUCUUUCUCUGUUCGGUGAUAUUACAAUAGUGAAAUGGGACCUCUGACGGGAUACACAUCUGCUUUUAUUUGGUUAAAAUCUUUUUGCUGGACAAUGUGAGUGCUAACUUAGAGCAAUUUUUAUGUCAUAUUUCAUUCAAAACAUCUCAUCAAUAGAAUUUCUAAUGUAUUUUAUUUUCAAAUUCCACACGCAUAUCUCCUAACGAUGGGAUUUGUAAUUGUCGGAGUUUUAAAUGAUGGGAAUCUAAUUUCCGUAUUGUUUUGCAAUUUCAUCAUCCAAACGUAGUGUGAGGGUUUUUGGUGUGUAGAUAUCUUCCUUCUCUAGGAUAAAAGAUGGUUGGUCCCUGUAGUUUAAACGUUUUUUUACUGCAAACUCUCACAGGCACUGGCUUGAUAUUCUUAUGCUUUUAGUCUUGGAGAGGAGAUAAUUUCUUUUCUGAUUGUUCAAUUUCUGAGGUAACAACUGAGUUUUUAACCGCUGCUCGUUCUUUGAUGGAGCAAGCGGAGGCACGCAACGCUGAGGUUCUGGAGGCUGCUCGGGCGUUCAAAGGAUUUACAUAUUCAAAGAGCAUUUAUUAUUUAGAGCCUUGGAGUAUGCCCGGAUUUGCUCAAAGAGAGCAAGCUGCUGUGGCUUCUGGGAUGGCUAUGUUGAAGGCUAAGAUUGACAGGGGCGAAAUUCCUGGCAUUGUUAAGGGGCAAGGGAGGAUUUUCCUUAAGAAGCGCAUAUGCGAGUUCCCAAUUCCAGGAGCUGGGGAACUGAGGGAGAAGCGUCCAGAUUUUGUACCGGUCACUGUGGAGAAAGAUGCAAGGAGUAAUGGCAUUCCUGGCAUUAGUAUGAAGAACAGGAGGUUCAGUGUUUUUGAAGAAGACAAACAGAGGCUUGGACAGGGGGAGCACGAUGUGCUGCCGAAUAAAAAAAACAAAUUCCCCAACUGGCAUCUCACCAUGGACAUGAUAUCUGCAGUCGGAAAUUAAACCAAGAUGGUCCAACCAAAAUGAUGUGAGAAGAGAGGUGCAGACAAAUGAACCUUCACUUUGGAGUUGUAUGAGUUUUGCUUUCUGUGUGCAAAUCUUACACUGAUAUGACAUACAAUAAUUGCUUGGCAGGAAGCCUUCGACACGUACAUACAUUCAUGCAUACAUCUAAACGAACAAGUGAACAACACACAUGACCAGAUCCUAUCUGUGUGCCUAUGGCUAUGGCCUGCAUGUAAUCUUAAAUUGCACGAUAAUACAAAAGUAGCAGGAAUGCCAUUACUCCUUGCAUCUUUCUCCACAGUGACCUACAUGAAAGUUCAAUUUGGAACAUAUUGUAUACGCGUAGUAUCUCCAUCAUGUCGUGGCCAAUCUCAUCCUGAGCCAUAUCUGCAGCAACAUCACCCAUAAUUGCAGCCUGAUGGGCCGGAAAAUCCCAACAAUCAACUGAUGUCGAAUACCUAUCUAUGAUAUUCCACUGCAAACCUAAAAUCUGAUGUGUGGUCAUGUAUAUCCCGUCAAGCCAAUACUGGAAUAUGUGUGCAGGGAAUUCAGCGAAACCCGGAUAAACCUGAACGACCAUGUCGGCCUCCAUUUCAAGCACAUUUCCAUAUGUUCUAAUAUUCACAGUCCCUCUGCCAGCCCAUAUGCCUCCCUCCAACACCCUAGAAAGAUUGACAACCUUCCCAUCCAUAUGCGAUAAGGCCAGCACGCAAUGAGCGCUCUUGUAAAACUUCUGCCAUGUGAGAGCCAUGGCAUGCUCUGAUGCCAUCGCCUGAACUCCACCUUCUCCAAAAUCGAGCAAAUAGGUGCAAAUAAAACGGUCCGGAACCAAAAAACCAGCAUUAAGAAAAAGAGAGGUGUAUGCUCCCCUGAUGAAAUGCUCGACCUCGUGCACACCACGGACUAUGUCAAGAUUCAGGGAGAACUGAAAUCGAGGAAUAAAGUUGAAUGGGUUCUGCCAUCCCAACAUUAUCCCAUAGACUGAGAGUACUCGAUCUAUGGGCAAAACUCCUCCUCUAGCCCCUGGUCCACCUCCACCAUCCCCAUCACCAACUACUGGGAUGAUAGCUCCUCCAUCCUCAACCUGAUGAGGUGGAGCUGGAACUGGAACUGGAACUAGAGCUAGGGCAUUACCUACAACUGUGUCUAAAAGAUAAUCCCCUUCGCCCCCUCCAGCUCCAGGGUUGUCAUAGUCAUAAGGCGUAUCCUGUACAACCAAAUAAAACAUAAUGGGAACCAUCAGCAAAGUGUCAACUGGAAGAACACUAAAAGUAUCAAACAUAAUGUGAGGAGUAUAUGUGAACAUAAAAUUGAUGUAAACUGCAAGUGCAUAGAACUAAUAAAGUAUGCGACACACCUCUGUUUGCCA